GGCCGCCUGGCGAAAUGGCAUCGCGUCUGACUACGACAAAUAGUUCUUAUCAGGAGAUUGCAGGUUGGACCCCUGCAGUGGUCA